CUCAAAGCCCUGAGCCUCUUUGGUGCUCUGCCUACGGUCCCCUCUCUGUCACUCCCUUUCCGCGGGACUCGCCAACCAGCUGUUCUUUGGACGCAGCAGGUCUGCCAUUUUCAUUAAUAACUGCCACUUAGAGGUACCCGAGUAAAGAAUUUUUGCUAUAUUUAAUAUUUUCCAGUUCAAGUUGGAGGCGCAGGUAGCAGCAAGGAUGGGUUUAGAAAAAUAUAGGAUGUUUUUAGAGGAAA